rnacentral:rRNA from 1 species
UGGGGAAUUUUGGACAAUGGGGGAAACCCUGAUCCAGCCAUCCCGCGUGUGCGAUGAAGGCCUUCGGGUUGUAAAGCACUUUUGGCAGGAAAGAAACGUCAUGGGUUAAUACCCCGUGAAACUGACGGUACCUGCAGAAUAAGCACCGGCUAACUACGUGCCAGCAGCCGCGGUAAUACGUAGGGUGCAAGCGUUAAUCGGAAUUACUGGGCGUAAAGCGUGCGCAGGCGGUUCGGAAAGAAAGAUGUGAAAUCCCAGAGCUCAACUUUGGAACUGCAGUUUUAACUACCGUGCUAGAGUGUGUCAGAGGGAGGUGGAAUUCCGCGUGUAGCAGUGAAAUGCGUAGAUAUGCGGAGGAACACCGAUGGCGAAGGCAGCCUCCUGGGAUAACACUGACGCUCAUGCACGAAAGCGUGGGGAGCAAACAGG